rnacentral:rRNA from 1 species
AGUUAACGUUGGCGGCGUGCCUAACACAUGCAAGUCGAACGCGUCCUAAGGGCAACUUUAGGAUGAGUGGCGAACGGGUGAGUAUCACGUGGGUAAUCUUCCUUUAAGUGGGGAAUAAGCUCUCGAAAGGGAGUCUAAUACCGCAUGACAUUCCGGGACACAAGUCCCGUAAUCAAAGCCGCAAGGCGCUUGAAGAUGAGCCUGCGUCCUAUUAGCUAGUUGGUGGGGUAACGGCCUACCAAGGCUCAGAUGGGUAGCCGGCCUGAGAGGGCGAACGGCCACACUGGGACUGAGACACGGCCCAGACUCCUACGGGAGGCAGCAGUGAGGAAUUUUGCGCAAUGGGGGAAACCCUGACGCAGCGACGCCGCGUGGAGGAUGAAGGCCUUCGGGUCGUAAACUCCUGUCAGAGGUGAAGAAUGCCCGCAAGGGUUUGACGGUAACCUCAGAGGAAGCCCCGGCUAACUACGUAGCCAAGCAGCCGCGGUAAGAGUGUGUGUA